CUGGCGGCGUGCCUAAUACAUGCAAGUCGAACGGUCUUUCUAUGGAAGCUUGCUUCCACUGAGAAGAUAGUGGCGAACGGGUGAGUAACACGUGGGUAACCUGCCCAUAAGAGGGGGAUAACAUCCGGAAACGGGUGCUAAUACCGCAUAGUUUUCUUGAUCGCAUGAUUGAGAAAGGAAAGACGGCCUUUGUGCUGUCGCUUAUGGAUGGACCCGCGGCGUAUUAGUUAGUUGGUGAGGUAACGGCUCACCAAGACGAUGAUACGUAGCCGACCUGAGAGGGUGAUCGGCCACAUUGGGACUGAGACACGGCCCAAACUCCUACGGGAGGCAGCAGUAGGGAAUCUUCCGCAAUGGACGAAAGUCUGACGGAGCAACGCCGCGUGAGUGAAGAAGGUUUUCGGAAUCGUAAAACUCUGUUGUCAGAGAAGAACAAGUUGGAGAGUAACUGCUCCAGCCUUGACGGUAUCUGACCAGAAAGCCACGGCUAACUACGUGCCAGCAGCUGC
rnacentral:rRNA from 1 species